UGGGGAAUAUUGGACAAUGGGCGCAAGCCUGAUCCAGCCAUGCCGCGUGGGUGAAGAAGGCCUUCGGGUUGUAAAGCCCUUUUGUCCGGAAAGAAAUCCUGUCGGUUAAUACCCGGCGGGGAUGACGGUACCGGAAGAAUAAGCACCGGCUAACUUCGUGCCAGCAGCCGCGGUAAUACGAAGGGUGCAAGCGUUACUCGGAAUUACUGGGCGUAAAGCGUGCGUAGGCGGUUCGUUAAGUCCGAUGUGAAAGCCCUGGGCUCAACCUGGGAACUGCAUUGGAUACUGGCGAGCUAGAGUGCGGUAGUGGAUGGUGGAAUUCCCGGUGUAGCGGUGAAAUGCGUAGAGAUCGGGAGGAACACCAGUGGCGAAGGCGGCCAUCUGGACCAGCACUGACGCUGAGGCACGAAAGCGUGGGGAGCAAACA
rnacentral:rRNA from 1 species